AUACGUAGGGUGCAAGCGUUAAUCGGAAUUACUGGGCGUAAAGCGUGCGCAGGCGGUUUUGUAAGACAGAGGUGAAAUCCCCGGGCUCAACCUGGGAACUGCCUUUGUGACUGCAAGGCUAGAGUACGGCAGAGGGGGAUGGAAUUCCGCGUGUAGCAGUGAAAUGCGUAAAUAUGCGGAGGAACCCCGAUGGCGAAGGCAAUCCCCUGGGCCUGGACUGACGCUCAUGCACGAAAGCAGGGGGAGCAAACAGGAUUAGAUACACUGGUAGUCCACGCCCUAAACGAUGUCAACUGUUUGUUGGGUCUUCAUUGACGCAGUAACGAAGCUAACGCGUGAAGUGGACCGCCUGGGGAGUACGGCCGCAAGGUUGAAACUCAAAGGAAUUGAGGGGG
rnacentral:rRNA from 1 species